GACGAACGCUGGCGGCGUGCUUAACACAUGCAAGUCGAACGGAAAGGCCCUGCUUGCAGGGUACUCGAGUGGCGAACGGGUGAGUAACACGUGGGUGAUCUGCCCUGCACUUCGGGAUAAGCCUGGGAAACUGGGUCUAAUACCGGAUAGGAGCCAUUUUUAGUGUGAUGGUUGGAAAGUUUUUUCGGUGUAGGAUGAGCUCGCGGCCUAUCAGCUUGUUGGUGGGGUAAUGGCCUACCAAGGCGGCGACGGGUAGCCGGCCUGAGAGGGUGGACGGCCACAUUGGGGCUGAGAUACGGCCCAGACUCCUACGGGGGGCAGCCGUGGGGAAUAUUGCACAAUGGGCGCAAGCCUGAUGCAGCGACGCCGCGUGGGGGAUGACGGCCUUCGGGUUGUAAACUCCUUUCGCUAGGGACGAAGCUUUUUGUGACGGUACCUAGAUAAGAAGCACCGGCUAACUACGUG
rnacentral:rRNA from 1 species